rnacentral:tRNA from 1 species
UCCUCUGUGGUUCAGUGGGUUAGGGACCUGGCACUGUCACCGCUGUGGCUCAGGUUCAAUCCCUGGCUCAGGAA